CCUGGUGCCUACAGCGCUGACUCUACUGCAAUUCCCGAGACUCUCACUUACCAGAGAAGGCAUCAAAAUAUGGUGAAGGCCAAAAGGAACAUGGAGCAUGAUACAGAUCCUGGGAAGGAUAUUAUGGGAUUGUGAAGGUACAACUCUAAGCAUCAGCAAAGGUGGUGUUCUUCUUCUUUCACUACUAGUACUUGAAUCAAUAUCAAAUGGUGGGUAACUAAGGAAUCUCCUACCCCUUUUUUAGAAACCGGAGUUGAUUUGGUUUAAUAACUCAGGGAGCUAUACUAUUAGUCGGAAUUAGGAUAUGAUCGAGCAAUAAUUGUAUUUAUAUUUGAUCAUUAGAAAGUACUUUAUAUUAUACUCCUAUAUAUGGAGCUCUAUGCUGGCUGAAUUUUCCCAAGUAUGUGGGUAUUUAUACCCUGUUUUGAUCCAAAACCGGAAACAGCUAAUGAGAGACAAUAUCAGUGUGAGAUGGUGGAGAGCUAAUAUGAGGCAAUUGAUGAUAUGAUUGGGCUUUCUAAGCCCAGAAUGAUC